rnacentral:rRNA from 1 species
CACGCCCUAAACGGUGCACACUAGGUCUUGGCGGAUUCGACCCCCCCAGGGCCCAAGCUAACGCGUUAAGUGUGCCGCCUGAGGACUACGGCCGCAAGGCUAAAACUCAAAGGAAUUGACGGGGGCCCGCACAAGCGGUGGAGCAUGUGGCUUAAUUCGAUGCAACGCGAAGAACCUUACCAGGCCUUGACAUGCAUUAGACCGACACUGAAAGGUGUCUUUCCCGCAAGGGACUGAUGCACAGGUGC